AAAAACCCAGGUGGUGUGAGAUGGAUCCGCGUCUGAUUAGCCAGUUGGCGGGGUAACGGCCCACCAAAGCGACGAUCAGUAGCCGACCUGAGAGGGUGACCGGCCACAUUGGGACUGAGACACGGCCCAAACUCCUACGGGAGGCAGCAGUGGGGAAUAUUGCACAAUGGGCGCAAGCCUGAUGCAGCGACGCCGCGUGAGUGAAGAAGUAUCUCGGUAUGUAAAGCUCUAUCAGCAGGGAAGAAAAUGACGGUACCUGACUAAGAAGCCCCGGCUAACUACGUGCCAGCAGCCGCGGUAAUACGUAGGGGGCAAGCGUUAUCCGGAUUUACUGGGUGUAAAGGGAGCGUAGACGGCGACGCAAGUCUGGAGUGAAAGCCCGGGGCCCAACCCCGGGACUGCUUUGGAAACUGUGCUGCUGGAGUGCAGGAGAGGUAAGUGGAAUUCCUAGUGUAGCGGUGAAAUGCGUAGAUAUUAGGAGGAACACCAGUGGCGAAGGCGGCUUACUGGACUGUAACUGACGUUGAGGCUCGAAAGCGUGGGGAGCAAACAGGAUUAGAUACCCUGGUAGUCCACGCCGUAAACGAAGAAUGCUAGGUGUCGGGGGGCAAAGCCCUUCG
rnacentral:rRNA from 1 species